rnacentral:tRNA from 1 species
UCUAAGGUGGCAGAAGAAUGUACAGGACUUAGGUUCCUGAGAUGGUAAAUAGUAUUUCCCCUUAGAA